rfam:Medicago truncatula strain A17 chromosome 4, whole genome shotgun sequence.
AUGUAGUGUAGCAUGCCCGUUUGGUGAAUUUCUCUGAUGAAUAUUUUAUAUUUAAAUGAUUUUGGGUAACGGGGUGUUACAGAUUGUG